GAGCUCGCUUUGCUGGCACUCAUACUAAAAUCGGAACAACACAGAGAAGAUUCUUGGGGCUCCUAAUGGGCAAGGAAGACACGCAAAUGGGUAACGUGUUCCAUAUUUUU